AUCCAGAUGACAAGUCCAAAAUAGAACGAAAUGCGCCUAAUCCUGGAU
rnacentral:hammerhead_ribozyme from 1 species